GUAUAAGAGACAGCAGUAGCCACGGUAAUACAGAGGGUGCGAGCGUUAAUCGGAUUUACUGGGCGUAAAGCGUGCGUAGGCGGCUUCUUAAGUCGGAUGUGAAAUCCCUGAGCUUAACUUAGGAAUUGCAUUCGAUACUGGGAAGCUAGAGUAUGGGAGAGGAUGGUAGAAUUCCAGGUGUAGCGGUGAAAUGCGUAGAGAUCUGGAGGAAUACCGAUGGCGAAGGCAGCCAUCUGGCCUAAUACUGACGCUGAGGUACGAAAGCAUGGGGAGCAAACAGGAUUAGAUACCCCUGUAGUCCCUGUCUCUUAUAC
rnacentral:rRNA from 1 species